CGGCCCUUUACGCCGUCUUAGCAAACGGGCACCGGUUUCAGAAAAGGAUGUCCAAUGACCGUCAACGCAGGCGCAACCCAGCGCUUGUUUCACGGAGAUAUCACCGGUGGUGUUGACGUGAAGCGGUCUUUGCAAGGACCGCACAAUGAAACGGUACAUCUGUAUCUUUCUCGUUGUCACCGGCGCGACGCUGACACAAGGGAAGGGGAGCUGGAGCAUUUCCAACAACUCUCUUAAUGUGAUCAUUAACGCACCGGGCAAGUAAGCCAGAAAGCCGUCCCACAAGGGACGGCUUUCUU
rnacentral:sRNA from 1 species